rnacentral:rRNA from 1 species
UGCAAGUAGAACGCUGAAGGAGGAGCUUGCUUCUCUGGAUGAGUUGCGAACGGGUGAGUAACGCGUAGGUAACCUGCCUGGUAGCGGGGGAUAACUAUUGGAAACGAUAGCUAAUACCGCAUAAGAGUAGAUGUUGCAUGACAUUUGCUUAAAAGGUGCAAAUGCAUCACUACCAGAUGGACCUGCGUUGUAUUAGCUAGUUGGUGGGGUAACGGCUCACCAAGGCGACGAUACGUAGCCGACCUGAGAGGGUGAUCGGCCACACUGGGACUGAGACACGGCCCAGACUCCUACGGGAGGCAGCAGUAGGGAAUCUUCGGCAAUGGACGGAAGUCUGACCGAGCAACGCCGCGUGAGUGAAGAAGGUUUUCGGAUCGUAAAGCUCUGUUGUAAGAGAAGAACGAGUGUGAGAGUGGAAAGUUCACACUGUGACGGUAUCUUACCAGAAAGGGACGGCUAACUACGUGCCAGCAGCCGCGGUAAUACGUAGGUCCCGAGCGUUGUCCGGAUUUAUUGGGCGUAAAGCGAGCGCAGGCGGUUAGAUAAGUCUGAAGUUAAAGGCUGUGGCUUAACCAUAGUAGGCUUUGGAAACUGUUUAACUUGAGUGCAAGAGGGGAGAGUGGAAUUCCAUGUGUAGCGGUGAAAUGCGUAGAUAUAUGGAGGGACACCGGUGGCGAAAGCGGCUCUCUGGCUUGUAACUGACGCUGAGGCUCGAAAGCGUGGGGAGCAAACAG